rnacentral:rRNA from 1 species
AUUGAACGCUGGCGGCAGGCUUAACACAUGCGAGUCGAGCGGAGAGAGGUAGCUUGCUACUGAUCUUAGCGGCGGACGGGUGAGUAAUGCUUAGGAAUCUGCCUAUUAGUGGGGGACAACAUUUCGAAAGGAAUGCUAAUACCGCAUACGUCCUACGGGAGAAAGCAGGGGAUCUUCGGACCUUGCGCUAAUAGAUGAGCCUAAGUCGGAUUAGCUAGUUGGUGGGGUAAAGGCCUACCAAGGCGACGAUCUGUAGCGGGUCUGAGAGGAUGAUCCGCCACACUGGGACUGAGACACGGCCCAGACUCCUACGGGAGGCAGCAGUGGGGAAUAUUGGACAAUGGGCGGAAGCCCGAUCCAGCCAUGCCGCGUGUGUGAAGAAGGCCUUAUGGUUGUAAGGCACUUUAAGCGAGGAGGAGGCUACUUUAGUUAAUACCUAGAGAUAGUGGACGUUACUCGCAGAAUAAGCACCGGCUAACUCUGUGCCAGCCGCCGCGGUAA